UUGGUUAUUGCAACUGACGGAGCUCCCGCUAACAACCGACAAGAAACGAAAAGUCAUGAACUGGGGUAUGUCUACGACGAAGGCAUCAUUGACCACCACAAGCCAUUGCCCGGAGUUGUAGCUGGCCAUCCGUGCAGCAGGAGAAACGGUGUACCCUGCUUCGCCAUUCCCUGGCGACCUUCAAUCAUCCGACCUCCCCAGCCUCCCCGUCGUCCACGUCCUAACAUCAACAGCAUCGGAUGAGAACUUCGUAUAAGCUGUCAUGCGUGCUGACACGAAAUGUUCUUUAGCGAUUCUUGUUUGCAAUUUAUACGGAGAGUAUCCGACUGAGAACUUAAAGCAUAUUAUUUCUAACUUGUUUUAUAUAUUUUCCCAAGCCAGAAUAUCGCGUGGCAGUUUUUCUUGGUGGCUAGCUACGCGGCAGCAUACGACGGCAUAAUAAAUAU